rnacentral:rRNA from 1 species
CAGUAGCCGCGGUAAUACGAAGGGUGCAAGCGUUAACCGGAAUUACUGGGCGUAAAGCGCGCGUAGGUGGUUUGUUAAGUUGGAUGUGAAAUCCCCGGGCUCAACCUGGGAACUGCAUUCAAAACUGACUGACUAGAGUAUGGUAGAGGGUGGUGGAAUUUCCUGUGUAGCGGUGAAAUGCGUAGAUAUAGGAAGGAACACCAGUGGCGAAGGCGACCACCUGGACUAAUACUGACACUGAGGUGCGAAAGCGUGGGGAGCAAACAGGAUUAGAUACCCCAGUAGUCCCUGUCUCUUAUAC